rnacentral:rRNA from 1 species
AUGCACGCUGGCGGCGUGCCUAAUCCAUGCCCGUCGAGCGAACAGACGAGGAGCUUGCUCCUCUGACGUUAGCGGCGGACGGGUGAGUAACACGUGGAUAACCUACCUAUAAGACUGGGAUAACUUCGGGAAACCGGAGCUAAUACCGGAUAAUAUAUUGAACCGCAUGGUUCAAUAGUGAAAGACGGUUUUGCUGUCACUUAUAGAUGGAUCCGCGCCGCAUUAGCUAGUUGGUAAGGUAACGGCUUACCAAGGCGACGAUGCGUAGCCGACCUGAGAGGGUGAUCGGCCACACUGGAACUGAGACACGGUCCAGACUCCUACGGGAGGCAGCAGUAGGGAAUCUUCCGCAAUGGGCGAAAGCCUGACGGAGCAACGCCGCGUGAGUGAUGAAGGUCUUCGGAUCGUAAAACUCUGUUAUUAGGGAAGAACAAAUGUGUAAGUAACUAUGCACGUCUUGACGGUACCUAAUCAGAAAGCCACGGCUAACUACGUG